rnacentral:tRNA from 1 species
UCUAAAGGCAAUCGGCUCUGUCGAAAUCGUUUCGACGCAAGUCGAGGCGAUCCGACACCCGACAGCUCUUAGGUCGAUACGUUGGUCGGACUCUUCUAUUUAGCUUCCAGGGAACCGGCAAGCGCUUACCAGGGCCUAUAGCUCAGUUGGUUAGAGCGCACGCCUGAUAAGCGUGAGGUCGGUAGUUCAAAUCUACCUAGACCCACCACUCAGGAGCGCUCGGCAGGUGGGCGGCGAGUCAUCCGGAACGCUCGGGGCUGUAGCUCAGCUGGGAGAGCGCCGCCCUUGCAAGGCGGAGGUCGUCGGUUCGAUCCCGAUCAGCUCCACCAUCCCGGUCGAGGGAAUGGAGAGCCGGUCGGACGGUGGGGUGCGCGGUCGUGGACCUGCUGGAGCAGGUGGCGAGCGCGGAUCCCAGCGAUCCUUGGUCUUUGACAACUGAAUCGAGAAAGUAACAAGCUGCGAAAUACAAGAUUCGCCAAAUUUAGACACUCAGGCU